UGGGCUUGGAGUCAAGGUGUCCCAGGUC
rnacentral:piRNA from 1 species